AUUCUUAUGUGUGUCAAUUUUAAUAUUUUCAUAAUUUUGUAUGUUUGUUUUGUAAAUUAAAUAAUUAAUUUUUAUCAUAUUUAAUUGGACAGAGUAUAUACCUAUGGGUUCCAGGCUCGAUAUUUGAGACCCAGUAGCACCAAGGUAUCCUUAAUUCUUAUGUGUGUCAAUUUUAAUAUUUUCAUAAUUUUGUAUGUUUAUUUUGUAAAUUAAAUAAUUAAUUUUUAUCAUAUUUAAUUGACAUAGUAUAUACCUAUGGGUUCCAGGCUCGAUAUUUAAGGCCCAUUAGUACCAAGCUAUCCUUAAUUCUUAUGUGUGUCAAUUUUAAUAUUUUUAUAAUUUUGUAUAUUUGAUUUGUAAA
rnacentral:lncRNA from 1 species